AAGGGAAUAGGGAGAGGCUGGUAAAAGGGUACAAACUUUCAGCAGUAAGGUGAAGAAAGUCUGAGGAGCUAAUGUAUAACAUGGCGACUAUAGUUGAUAACACUGUAGUGUAUAAUUGAAAUUUGCUGAGAGAAUAAGAUUUAAAU